rnacentral:rRNA from 1 species
UGGGGAAUCUUGCACAAUGGGGGCAACCCUGAUGCAGCGACGCCGCGUGAGCGAUGAAGCCCUUCGGGGUGUAAAGCUCUUUCGGCAGGGAAGAUAAUGACGGUACCUGCAGAAUCAGCUGCGGCUAACUACGUGCCAGCAGCCGCGGUAAUACGUAGGCAGCGAGCGUUGUUCGGAGUUACUGGGCGUAAAGGGUGUGUAGGCGGUGCUCUAAGUGUGGUGUGAAAUCUCCCGGCUCAACUGGGAGGGUGCGCUACGAACUGGAGUGCUCGAGUGCGGGAUGGGAGAGUGGAAUUCCUGGUGUAGCGGUGAAAUGCGUAGAUAUCAGGAGGAACACCGGUGGUGUAGACGGCUCUCUGGACCGCAACUGACGCUGAGACACGAAAGCGUGGGUAGCAAACAGGAUUAGAUACCCAUGUAGUCCCUGAGCGGGCUGGCAAGGCGCAU